GGGGAUAUAGCUCAGUUGGUAGAGUGCUUGCCUUGCAUGCACAAGGCCCUGGGUUCAAUCCCCAGCACCA
rfam:Ictidomys tridecemlineatus contig074941, whole genome shotgun sequence.